AUUGAACGCUGGCGGCAGGCCUAACACAUGCAAGUCGAGCGGAUGAAGGGAGCUUGCUCCUGGAUUCAGCGGCGGACGGGUGAGUAAUGCCUAGGAAUCUGCCUGGUAGUGGGGGAUAACGUCCGGAAACGGGCGCUAAUACCGCAUACGUCCUGAGGGAGAAAGUGGGGGAUCUUCGGACCUCACGCUAUCAGAUGAGCCUAGGUCGGAUUAGCUAGUUGGCGGGGUAAAGGCCUACCAAGGCGACGAUCCGUAACUGGUCUGAGAGGAUGAUCAGUCACACUGGAACUGAGACACGGUCCAGACUCCUACGGGAGGCAGCAGUGGGGAAUAUUGGACAAUGGGCGAAAGCCUGAUCCAGCCAUGCCGCGUGUGUGAAGAAGGUCUUCGGAUUGUAGAGCACUUUAAGUUGGGAGGAAGGGCAGUAAGUUAAUACCUUGCUGUUUUGACGUUACCAACAGAAUAAGCACCGGCUAACUUCGUG
rnacentral:rRNA from 1 species